UUAAAUUGGAUCUGCUCAUUUUAUUAUUUUCCUUACUUAUCUAUUAUUUAAUUUUCAUGCUCUAUUGAGGGGUUUUGGUAUGCGUUCUUCUUCUUAGUAACUGUGUUCAUCUGAUAUGUUCAUAAAAAAUGAGAUAUCAUGGUUUAAAUGCAAACCCCAAAAUAUUUCUAAUUAUGUUUAUUUUAUAUUACUAUUAUAUUUUAAUAAUCUGUGUUUAAUUGAUUAUAUGUAUAUGUAUCCACAUGUACAUCAUGAUACAUAAUAAUAAAUUGAACAUGUUUAAAUCCAUAUGUACAUCAUGAUACAUAAUAAUAAUUGAACAUGUUUACACAACAUAAAACCCAGAAUAUUAUCAUCCUCUUUAGUUGUAUAGUCUCUUAUUCCAUCACCCUUCCUCUCUGCUAGAGGUGGCCAAAAUGCUAGAUAUUCAAGUUACCAUUUUUUUUCUUUUUAAAAAUAGUUUUCCCUCACAAAAAUGCUUUGCUAAACAAGUUAUUCUUUAGUUUGCUUACUUUUUAGCAUUAUCAAAUUCAUAUUGCACUGUAUGUAAUCUUCAGCUACUUGGUUUUCUCCAUCAACAUUGUGUUUGUAUGAUUUAUAUGUAUGUUUGCACUUAGAUUUAAUUCAUUUUAUUCAGUUAAAUAUUUUAUGAGGAUGUAUCUCAAUUUCUUCAUUUAGUCUCUGUAGGUGGGUAAAUUAUUAUUUGGAUUAUUCCAGAUGGAUACUAUUAUGAAUAGUGCUGCUGAAUUUUCUUGAACAAGUCUCCUAGUACUUAUGUGUAAGAAUAUCUGUAGGGUCAAUACAGGAGAGUAGAAUUGCUAGAUUGUAGGGUAUUCGCAGUCAGCUUUAUAAAAUGACAAUUGUUUUCCAAAAUAAUCGUAUCAAUUCAGACCUUCACUAGUUAUAUAUGAGCCCACAUUGAUACAUAUUCUGGCCGACAUGUGGAAGUGUUACACUUCUUAAUUAUAGGCAAUCAAAUGGGUGUAAAUGUUACCUCUGCUUGUCACUAAUGAGGGAGACAUCUUGCUGUAUAUUCAUUUACCUUUCUUGUUUCCUCUUCAGUGAAAUUUUUUUGUACAUUUAAAAAAUUGAUUUGUAGGUUAUGUAUUCCUGAUGCUAAUUCAUUUUAGUUAUAUAUGAUGCAAACAUCUUAAUUUUAUUGCAAAGUCAACUUUUCUUUUAAUUAUUAGUAUUGUAGAGUGUUUUCUUUAAGAAAACCUUGGCUAACCUGAGGUUAUACACAUAAUUUAUUUCAUUCUCCAUGAUUCUAAGCUUUGUCUUUUGCAUUUAUGUGUUUAGUCCACGUGCAAGUUAUAUGAGUAUAUAAUUUUAGUCUGCAUUUCAAAUUAUUUUUUCCAAGGAAUUUUUCUAGGGCAUUUAUAAAUUAGUUUGCCUUCCCCUAGUAAACUCCAGUUGUCCAGCUCAAUAUCUAGUAGGCUGAUGUGGUUUGGCUGUGUCCUCACCCAAAUCUCAUCUUGAAUUGUAGCUCCCAUAAUUCCCACGUGUUGUGGGAGGGAUGUGGUGGGAGGUAAUUGAAUCAUGGGGGCGGGUCUUUCCCAUGCUGUUCCCGUAAUAGUAAGUCUCAUGAGAUCUGAUGGUUUUAUAAAGGGGAAUUCCCUUACACAUGUUCUCUUGCUGUCGCUGUGUAAAAUGUGACUUUGCUCCUCCUUUGCCUUCCGUCAUGAUUGUGAGGCCUUCCCAGCCAUGUGGAAGUGUGAGUCAAUUAAACCUCCUUCCUUUAUAAAUUAGCCAGUCUGGGGUAUGUCUUCAUUGGCCAUGUGAGAACAGACUAAAUACAUAGGCUAAGUCCCUCACUAUAUUCUUCUUCAGAAUAAUCUUGAGUAUUCUUAAACUUUUACCUUUUAUCUAAAUUUUAGAUUUGGCAUAUAAUUAUCCAGGAAAAUGUCUACUGGGAUUUUGAUUUGUAUUAUAUUGAUUCAGACCAAAUUGAGAAGAAUUGAUAUCUUUAUUAUAUUUUGUCUUUCUAUUUAUAAAUAGUAUCUCUUAUUUAGCAGUAUUUUAUACCAUUUGAUAAACUUUAAAAAUUUUUUUCAUAAACUUCUUAUACAUCUUUUGUUAGAUAUAAUGCUGGAGCUUCAGUUUAGCUCCUCUUAUUCUUUGUUUGUUUUUGAGACAGCGUCUCACUUCAUUGCCUAGCCUGGAGUGCAGUGGCACAAUCACUGCUUACUGCAGCCUCGACCUGCUGGGCUCAAGCAGCCCUCCCACCUCAGCCUUCCAAGUAGCUGGGACUACAGGCAUGUACCACCACACUUGGCUAUUUUUUAAUUUUUUGUAGAGAUGAGGUCUCCCUAUGUUGCCCAGGCAAGCCUUUAACUACUGGGCUCAAGUGAUCCUACUGCCUUGGCCUCCCAAAGUGCUGGGAUUUCAGGCAUGAGCCACUGCACCCCGCCUGGUUCCUCUUAUUGUGUAGACUUCAGUACAUUUAUGGAUAUUUAUCUCAAUACAACUCUGAAUUUCCUGUUUGCUUAAUACUCAUUGUUCAGGUUUUUUUGUUUACUAUCUUUUAUAAAUAUCUUGACCCUCAAAAAUUUUCUGUUCGUUCUUUCUUUCUUUCUUUCUUUCUUUCUUUCUUUCUUUCUUUCUUUCUUUCUUUCUUUAUAUUUCUUUUUUAUUUCUAUGCUUCGUUUCUUUCUUUAUAUUAUGCUUCUUCAAAUAUCCAAGAUAUUGUUGUAGUGUAGCAGGUAUGUUGGUUGGAAUUUUUGUUACACCAUGUUGCUAGAGGUUGAAACAUUUCAUUGAAAAUAAUAACUGAGGUCAGAUGCAGUGGCUCAUGCCAGUAAUCUCAGCACUUUGGGAGGCCGAGGUGGGAGCUGAGGUCAGGAGUUCAAGAUCAGCCUGGCCAACAGGGUGAAACCCCGUGUUUACUAAAAAUACAAAAAUUAGCUGGGUGUGGUGGCAGGUGCCUGUAAUCCCAGCUACUCCAGAGGCUGAGGCAGGGAGAAUUGCUUGAACUCGGGAGGCAGAGGAUGCAGUGAGCUGAGACCAUGCCACUGCACUCCAGCCUGCGCGAAAGAGCAAGACUCCGUCUCAAAAAAAUAAAAAUAAGUAAAUAAAUAAAUAAAAAUAGUAAUUGAGUAAUUCAUAGGAAGAUAAACUUUCAUUACUGGAAAAUGAAAACAUUAUUAUCUUCAAUUUUGGAGAGAGAAUACCCUUUUUUAUUUAAGUAAAUGUUUGUAAUAAAAACUUAUCUAAUAAAAAUAAGGUGCUAUCUACUGAAGUGAUUAAUAUUCAGGUGACAGUGGAAAAUGAUUCGAUUUAUAUUGAUUUUAUCAGUCUACAUUUUUCUUCUGGAUGUAGGAAGCAGGUAAUUUGGACAUCAUAGUCUCUUAAAAAAGGUUGUGGAAUGAAAUAGUGUGUCUUGCCUUAAUUGGAUUAAAAUAGAAUUCUAUUGAGACUUUCUUUCUUAUUUCUCAUUUGGAAUGGAAGCUCAAGACACCUGGUGCAUUAUUUGAGUCUUGUGAGGGAUCAGUAGAAUAUCUUAAGCACAUGAUGACAGAAUACUGAAGACACAAUGGCUAAUUAAGUGUAGAAUAGUUCAAUUUUAUUUCAGGGAGACAGAUUCAUGUUUGUUUUCAAACUAAAUUCUUUGCUUAACUUCCUUGAUUCCACAAAAAUAUAAAACAUUAUUUCAAAGAGAAAUAUUUUGAGGCUAAUGAAGAACAUAUGCUACAUUGUAUUGUAAAUGAAUGCAAGAUGGCAUUGUUAAUUUGCUUCUAUUUUAGUUGUAGGCUUAUACUCAGGGAGACAUCUGGAUUAAAGGAGCUUUAUUUCUUCUGGGUGGGACACUAAUGUAAUUUUAUAGGUAAAUACAGUGGAAAACAUCAUGAAUAUACAAAUCUAAGGUAGAUGAUAAAAUUUAAUACCAGUUAGGCUUUAUUGAGUGGUUACUAAGUAGCAUUAUCUAAUUAUUUCCCAUAAUAAUACUAUGGUAGAGACACCAUUAUUAGUCUCAUUUUUCAAUGAAGAAACUGGGACUUUGAGAGUUCCUGAAACUUGCCCAAGGAAAUAUAUCUAAUAAGUAAUGUUUGCCAGUGCUUCUUAAACUUUAAUAUGCAUGCAGAUCACCCGUGGCUCUUGUUAAAAUGCAGAUUUUUAUUCAGUAGAUCAGGACAGAGAUAGUACAUUUCUUAUAAGCCACCAAGCAUAAGGUAAUGCUUAUGCUCCUGGUACAAAGACUAUACUUUGAGCAGCAAGAAUGUGAAAUUUGAAUGUGAAUUUGAUUGUGAAAUUCAAAUUCAGGUGUGUCUGGCUUCAAGAUCUACAUUCCUACUUAUUACAUAAAUACAUCCUUUGACCUAAAGAAGUGUAUAAUUAUACAAAGGAAGAAAUGAAGCUAAGUAGUAUUUUGUAAAGUUCUAUUCAUCCAUGCUGAAUAAGCAUUCGAUGAUCUAGAUAAUAGAAUAUUCUGGAAGGCUAUUAAUUUUUCAGUGAAUCCUGUAUCAAUUAACCAUUUUCAAAAGAAUGAUUUAGUGAAAGAAAAUAUAUGGUAUUUAAACAAUUUUCAUUUUUAUUUGAGUUUGGAAAAUUUUAAAACCUUCAUUAUUCUUCAGUAAACAUAAGAUAUCUUUGAAAAUAUAAAUGUAAACACUGUGAAAGAAAAAUAAAUGUAGCUGGUUGUUUUCUUAUAAGCCUACUAAAGAAAUUACUUAACAGUCUUUGAUAAUUCAGGUUUUUGAAAAAAGGAAGUUAAAAAGUGGAGGGUUUUUUGGUGAAAUUAUUGCUUUUUAGUAUCUGCAGUAAUUGUUAUUGUGCAUACAUGAACACAGAUUUUAUGUAUUUGAAGAUUAAAUUGUUAAUCCUAUCUUUUAUAAUAUUUUUGAAUAAAAAGUCAAUUUAACUUAUUGCCUUAUGUGCUAGCUUGUUUUUGUUUAUAUGUUUGACUCUAAACUACUUAUUGCAACUUUAUUUUACACUCAUUUGUGCUUUUGUCUUUUGAUCAGCUCCAUCUACCAGCCUUAUGAAGAGCUGAAAGAUAAAACGAUAUCAAAACCUUUUAGUUGCUAUCUCUUUGAUAGCAAUUUUGCUUUUUUUUUGUUGGGGGUGGGGGCUUGUUACUAUAUAAAAUCAUGUUAUGAUUCUGAUGACUCUUAUGUAUUAGGCCCUUACAGAAACUCUGUGAAGUAGACACAUUAAACAUUUAUACAUUCUUAUUUUAUAAAUGAGGAAAUUCAGAAGACCAAUGUUCUUAUCCAAGACUGUGUAGAUAGCAUGAGGUAGUGGUAGAAUUCAACUUUAUGACUUCUGUCUAAAAUCCAGUUUGUUCCCCUCUAAACCCACAUUCAUAAUUUGAACUAUUUUAUUUCCAAGAUGUGUCUGCUAAAUGACUUUUUUUUCUGACAUUUGCUACGUCUAUAUCUCAGGAACUGGCUCCCUGCAAUGAUUAUAUAACUAAUAUCAUUGGAUUAUUCUUAAGCAAUCUCAAAUCAAACAAUGUUUUGAAGCAAAAAAGAUAUAAUCAUUUAACAUUAUUAUGAACAUACAUUUCAGCUUGAACUAGGCUGAAAUAUCUGCAAGUGUUAAUGAACAAUUUACAGGAGAAAGCUUUUCAACAAAGCAAUCCAACCUCCAAUGCGGCCUUCUGAGAGAUGGAGAUAAAUGAAAUCUGUGGUCUCAUUGUUCACCAACCAGCCCAGCCAAGGGGAUCUACUCAGUAAAUGAAGGUCUCUAGGCAUUUUGCUCAAAGAAAAUAGGAUCAAGGUUAUAAUAAACAAAUUUUUCUGGUGACAUUUUCCAAUUAUGGCAUAUUCUGUCUCCCUCUGGUUGUCCUGGUAACUUUAAUUAAAGCUGCUCCAAUCUAUUUUGAAGCUUUAAAUACUGUAAUAUACUCCAACUCUUAAUUCAACCUUGAUAUUGAGCUUAUGAUUAGAUAACAAAAAAAGGAACAUGACAAAUGUUUUCAAGUGAUUUUUAAAGUAAGUUUUGUUUUUGUUUUCCUGGAAGUGCUAGAUGAUUGUUAUUUAACCAAAUAGUUUUUUUUUUCUUUAACUCUUAGGCCAGUCAUUCUAUAUCAUUUCUAUUUGUCAGCAGUGCCAGUAACAUUUUAGAAAAAUGUAGCUUUCUGGUCUUUAUCUGUAGGGAUUUUAACUAAAAAAUGUGGAAAGAAACUCAAGAAAAAUUAGAUACAAAGAAGUGAGAAGGGGAUCCAGGAAGGAAUUCUGAAAUUCUUUAGAGACUCAAAGAAGAAUACAAAAUUUAUCAUGUUUGGCUAUUAGGGGUCAUUGAUUUACUUUUGUGAGAAUAGAUUCAAUAGAAUAUACUGGAACAGAAUAAAGACUGUAGUGUUAAGGAGUUAUUGGAAAGUGAGACAUUGGCAAGAAAUUUAUCUGGAUUUUCAUGAAGUUUGGUAGGACAGUGAAGGAAAAUGUGGAGUACUACUAAAGAAUGUAUUUCUUUCUUGUCUAUUUUUGAGACUGGAGGACAUAUAAGCAUGCUUAUAGCUAGAAAAGCAGAAAUCCAUGAAAUUUGAAAAUAAGAAAAAAUAGUCUGAAUGUAGAAGGAUGAUUCCAGAAAAAGCAGACAGAGAAGAUCGAGGUCAUGCAAUUUUCUUUGAAAAGAUGGCGGAAUAUUUCACUUGGGACAGAAGGAAUAUUAUUAGAUAUAAAUAAAGACAGUUUUUGUUGAAGAUUUGGGAGAGCAAAGUAAGAAAAGGUGAAAGGAGUCUAUUAUGGGUAAGUAAAAUUACUGAGGAAUAAAAUCUAGGGCCUUCCUAACACUGAGAACAAUCAGAAGAUAUAAAACACCCUCAUGUUCUAAAAAUGAGGCCCAAUAAAAAUGAGGCCCAAGCUACAUAUGAAUUUCAAAGAGCUUUCUGAAAACUCUGUGUGUUUAUGUGGAUAUGCAUAUUUUGACCAUUAAUCCAGAAUCUAUCUGGAGGGUAUAAAUUAUCCAGGCCUUUGAGUCUGAGUGGUGAAGGGAUUAGGUAAUCCACUAAUUGUUUUGCAAAAUUGAGAUUACUUUUAUUUAUUUGGAUUUGAUACAUGCCUGUGGAUGUUAAAAGGGAAGUGCUAAGGCUCGACAUGUUUACCCAGUGACAGGGCAAUGAGACACGGCAUCAAGGGGCACAAACUUACAUAAAAACAAGGCAGUGAGAUGGAGCUGGUCUCAGAUAGGACCCAACAGGGCUUCCCUCCGGGAACAAAACUAGUUUAGCAGAAAGAGGGUAGAAAUACACUGUCAAAUGGGAGCUGAGGGGCUGGGGUUUAAAUGACCCUCAGAAGCAUGACAUUGCAAUUGAAUGUCCUGGGUACCUCCAAACAACUAGGAAAGUAUCUUAAUAAGGGAACAAGUCAGUGUUGAACAUCGAUCAGCCCCAGAGAGUAACAACACAUAAUUAUAGUCAAGAAAAGCCAUCCAUUGCCAACUUUCUCUUAGUGCCAUUGCUGAAAUCACCGUGUUUGAGCUGCUAAGAAGUGUCAAGAUGAAAUCAGGAGGAAAAACUCAGAGAGUGGCCAUAGACCUCUACCACAUUCUCCAUCUGAAGUUUCUUGGUCUGAAGCAGUACUAACCUGUUAGUAGAACAUCAGAAUCAUGUGGAGAUGCCUUGAAAUGUAGUGCAGGUGCCAACUAAGGAGAUGUGCAUGUUUUCUGCUGACAGCGAAAGGCCAAGUAGGGCCUACGACACUGUAUGUUAACAUCUUAUUCAUUGUAUGAGCAGGAAGUGAUGCUUGUAGCCCUUUACACCUUAAUAUAUGGUUUAUAACAUUUGUCCACGCACCUUGGCAUUUGGUGAGUGUCUAUUUUACUGUUUUCUUUAGGUGGUUAAAAGCUGGUUGUGAGGGGUUUAGGUUGAUAUAAAAACGCUCUAUUUUCUUCCACUUAAUAAAUAAUAGGCUAUCAGAAUUUUCACUCAGAACAUCAGGUUUUUCUGAAGCAGAUUACUGCUUAAGUGGGAGAUACCUGUCCUGCUUGAUAUCAUUUGUUAAUGUGGUAAAUGGAAAGCCCCAGAUACACCAUCACAUUUCCUCUCUUACGUUACACACUGGAGCAGCAUCUUUAUGGAUUUUUAAGUCUAAAAUAAUUAUAAUGGUAGGAAUUUGGGGCCAAACAGAAGUGAUGGUGAAACACUAAGUGCUGUGUUUACGACCUCUUGAAUUACACUAAGGAGACAGAUCCAUAUACCUGUAACUGUGCUAUACUCUCUACCGCACUCAGCAUUUUAAUUUUCGUAACAUUUUGUUCUGAUUAAUGUAUUAUUUAAAGGUUAGCAGUGAAGUUUUUUUUUUUUUAAAACAACUCCUUCCUUCCUUCUUCUUUUUUUUUUUUUGGAGUUUGGCUCUUGUUGCCCAGGCUGGAGUGUAAUGGCGCGAUCUUGGCUCACUGCAAACUCCACCUCCCGGGUUCAAAGGAUUCCCCUGCCUCAGCCUCCCGAGUAGCUGGGAUUACAGGCACCCACCACAACACCCAGCUAAUUUUUGUAUUUUUAGUAGAGAUGCGGGUUUCACCAUGUUAGCCAGGCUGGUCUCAAACUCCUGACCUCAAGUGAUCCGCCCACCUCAGCCUCCCAAAGUGCGGGGAUUACAGGCGUGAGCCACCAUGCCCAGCCAACCACACUUUCUGUUUUAAAUCUCUCAGUGCUAGAGAGUGCAUUUUCCUCCCACAUUCCAUGGAGUAGUGUCAGCACUAAAUGAGUAUUUGAACAAAGGCACUUUUGAAAAAAAUGUGGUAAUCAAAUAUACCUUUAAGAUAGAAAGCACAAUUAAUGGUAGAGGGCACCUAAUUAUUUAAUGGAAGGUUCAGACAAGGAAAGGGUUGGGGCAACAGUGAUAGGCUCUGUCUUCUAAAUGAAAUCUCUUGGAAAUGAGAUUCUUUGAGUUGGCUUUAGGAUCAGAAAGCACUAUCUAAUGUAAAAUUUAUGUUCUGGUAAUGCAGCAUGGGGGAAAGGGAGUGUUGGGUUUGUAAUUACUUUGAGCAAAAUGAGAAUUAGCUCAAGUGGCUUGCAAAACUCACACAGGCAAAAACUACACAAUUUGUAGAGCCUAGUACAAAAUGUAAAUUUGAGGCUCUUGUUAAGAAAUUAUUAGAAUUUCAAAAUGGCAGCAUCAGAGAAUGAAACCAAACAUGGGGUCCUUCUGAAUGUGGAGUCCUCACUGAGUCAGUCAGCCUCGUCUGACUGCACAGGUCUCACACCCACCAAAGCUGGCUGGUCCUGCGCAUAGGUCGUUAGUGGUAGAGCUAGAACCAGAACUUGGGAUUCUCAGCUACUUGUACAGUGUUCUUUCUAUGAUGAUAGUCAUCAAACUUUACUUGGGGACUUGAGAGUCUGUGAAAUCCUUGAUGAUUGUUGAAAGAUAAUCCCAAAGUGAGGCAAAAAAAGAAAAAAAUCCGUAUGUCAUUUCACCUCUUUUUUUUUUUU